rnacentral:rRNA from 1 species
GCUAACCUGGUGAACUGAAACAUCUAAGUAACCAGAGGAAAAGAAAACAAAUAGUGAUUCCCUGAGUAGUGGCGAACGAAAAGGGAAUAGCCCAAACCAAUAUUGUUUCGGCAAAAUUGGGGUUGUAGGACUGUAACAUAGAAUAUAAAUUUAUAGAGGAAUAUUAGUGGAAACUAAUAACCAUAGAAGGUGAUAGUCCUGUACUCGAAAUAAAUUUAUUACUUAACAGUAUCCUGAGUAGGGCGGGACACGUGAAAUCCUGUCUGAAUCCACCGGGACCAUCCGGUAAGGCUAAAUACACAUGAGAGACCGAUAGUGAACAAGUACCGUGAGGGAAAGGUGAAAAGUACCCCGAACAGGGGAGUGAAAUAGAUCCUGAAACCAUACGCUUACAAGCGGUAGGAGCCAUUUUUAUGGUGACUGCGUGCCUUUUGCAUAAUGAUCCUACGAGUUACUCCUCACUAGCAAGGAUAAGAAUUUUUGAUUCGCAUCCGUAGCGAAAGCAAGUCUGAAUAGGGCGUUUAGUUAGUGGGGGUAGACGCGAAACCCAGUGAUCUACCCAUGGGCAGGUUGAAACUUCGUUAAUCCGAAGUGGAGGACCGAACCAGUACACGUUGAA